UAAUGCAUACCGUGCCUUCGUCGCGGGACGGUGACAAACACACGAUGUCCAUCGUAUUCAAACCCUAUAGCACCAGCAGGCGUAUGCAGUAUCUUUACUAGUUCAAUAUGGGGAUUUCGUACUACAUAAUAUGUCUUCAGUCGACGACGUUAUAAUGAUUGAAAUUGGCUUAUACUAACGAAAGAAUUGCAUAUAAACACUUACAAGCCACAUAUCUGAGUCCCAGUUCCUAAAAGCAUUUAUAAACUGUGGCGGCUCCAUGCCUUGUUUGACAGGCACAACGUCUUGUAUAGAAUUGCCUAUUUCACC